rnacentral:lncRNA from 10 species
GGUGAGGUCACAACAUAGGAAAGUUGCUUGGUGUAUAAUUAGUGUGGGGAGCACAGGGGGGUGGAUUACAAUGCACAGACAAAUUCUAAUCCAUAGCCUGUAAUUUGAGGGUUGGGUCAAUCAUAAUUUGGGUGCAAGCACACCUACUUCCUUUUUUAAUAAGGGAGAAUUUAGCUCUUGUUACCCACAAGAGUUCUCAAAGUAGAAAAUAAUAAACCAUGUUCUUGAAGCCAGUACUGAAUUAUCAAAGCUGAAGGAAGGGAAGCUAAAGAAAGAUUAGGCAACUUGGGGUACAAAUGCGUUCAAAAUCCUCUCCGUCAGUAUGCCAAGUCUCUGGAUACCAGUGACUUAUUUGCCCUGGGGUGAGAGAAAACUCCAUUUUCCAUCAAGCUGGAGAAGCAGCCUUUGUUUUUCAGCCAUGGAUAAGGCCACUUAUUAGGAGGACAACAAGAAGGUGGACCAGUAAGACAACAUGACACGUAAGGCAGGAGAAUCACUUGAACCUGGAAGGCGGAGAUUGCAGUGAACUGAGAUCACACCAAUGCACUCUAGCCUGGGCAACAGAGUGAGACUCUGUCUCAAAAAAGAAAAAAAACAAAGACAAUACGACAUACCUAGAUUCUAAUUCAACACAGAAAAUGCAAAACAAAUAAAUAAAUAAAUAAAAUAAACAUAAAACCAAA